rnacentral:rRNA from 1 species
AAACCGAAGGGUUUGAUCCUGGCUCAGAACGAACGCUGGCGGCGUGGAUUAGGCAUGCAAGUCGAGCGAGAAAAGGUCCGCAAGGGCCUGAGUAAAGCGGCGCAAGGGUGAGUAAUGCCUGGAUAACCUACCCCUGAGAGGGGGAUAACGUCUGGAAACGGACGCUAAUACCCCAUAAGACCACGGGCCUACGAGUCCGUGCUUAAAGAUAGCCUCUGUUUACAAGCCUUCGCUCAGGGAGGGGUUCAGGUCCUACUAGCUAGUUGGCGGGGUAACGGCCCACCAAGGCGACGAUGGGUAGCCGGGCUGAGAGGUUGUUCGGCCACACUGGGACUGAGACACUGCCCAGACUCCUUCGGGAGGCUGCAGUCGAGGAUUUUUUGCAAUGCGCGCAAGCGUGACAGAGCGACGCCGCGUGGACGAUGAAGGCCUUCGGGUUGUAAAGUCCAAUCUCGGGGAAAGAAGAGCCGGAGGUUAACAGCCUGCCGGCUUGACGUUACUCCGGUUGAAGCGCCGGCUAAACUCGUGCCAGCAGCCGCGGUAAUACGAGUGGCGCAAGCGUUGUUCGGAUUCACUGGGCAUAAAGCGCGCGUAGGCGGUGCUGUAAGUCGGUUGUGAAAGCCCCCGGCUCAACCGGGGAAUCGCAGUCGAAACUGCAGUGCUAGAGUCUGGAAGGGGGGAGUGGAAUUCCUGGUGGAGCGGUGAAAUGCGUAGAUAUCAGGAGGAACGCCGGUGGCGAAGGCGACUCUCUGGUCCAGUACUGACGCUCAGAGCGCGAAAGCUAGGGGAGCAAACAGGAUUAGAUACCCUGGUAGUCCUAGCCGUAAACGAUGGGCACUUGGUAGCGGCAGUUACCGACACUGUCGCUGCUGGAGCUAAUGUAUUAAGUGCCCCGCCUGGGGAGUAUGCUCGCAAGGGUGAAACUCAAAGGAAUUGACGGGGGCUCACACAAGCGGUGGAGCAUGUUGUUUAAUUCGAGGCUACGCGAAGAACCUUACCUGGGUUUGAAGCGAUAGGUAUAAGCGCGUCGAAAGAUGUGUGAUUGCCCUUCGGGGUGUAACCUAUCACAGGUGCUGCAUGGCUGUCGUCAGCUCGUGUCGUGAGAUGUCGGGUUAAGUCCCAUAACGAGCGAAACCCUUGUCCUUAGUUGCUAGCGGGUAAAGCCGAGGACUCUAAGGAGACUGCCGGUGUUAAACCGUGAGGAAGGUGGGGACGACGUCAAGUCAUCAUGGCCUUUACGUCCAGGGCUACAAACGUGCUACAAUGGCCGGCACAAAGGGAAGCAAGACCGCGAGGUGGAGCAAAUCUCAAAAAUCCGGCCCCAGUUCGGAUUGGAGGCUGCAAUUCGCCUCCAUGAAGUUGGAAUCGCUAGUAAUCGCGUGUCAGCUACAACGCGGUGAAUGUGUUCCUGAGCCUUGUACACACCGCCCGUCAAGCCAUCCAAGCAGGGCGCACCCGUAAUCACUGGCCCAACCCGCAAGGGAGGGAGGUGCUGAAGGUGAGCUUUGUGAGGAGGACUAAGUCGUAACAAGGUAACCGUAGGGGAACCUGCGGUUGGAUCACCUCCUUU